UAACACAAACACACCUCUAUGCAAGAGAGCAACAGAUGCAAUCCUGUAUGAAACAAACUAAGGGAGAGCUGGCCAACAGCGGCCCUUGAAAGGAACAGCUGUAUUUUGCCAGGCAUAUUUGGCCUCCAGCUACACGGCAGAAGAAAACAACUUUAGUUUCAUUCUAAUGGGGAAACUACAGGACUGAAACUCUGGGAAAGCGUACUGGAUUGAAACUCAUGAUUUAUUUAAGUGGCUCGACCCGAUCUUUAUGCUAUGUUUCCUGAGAUGAAAGAAGUAGGAAUUCAUCUCUUGCUACUCCCAGUCACAACAGCUACAGUUGAGUGUUCUUUUUCAUCAUUGAAUAGAAUUUUGUGUUCUGAAAGAAGUCACCUUCUGCCUAAUCAUGUGAAUGAACAUAUCAAUUGAAGGCAUGGAAGUACCAGACACACGAGAAGCCACCAAAGAUGAACGCACUGCAUUCAAGAAGUUCAUUAACAGAGUUGUGCAAAAUUAUAACAAGAAACGAAGAAGGAUGUAGAUGUUGAGCUUCAUAGAAGGCUAGAGUAGACAACUUUAAUGUGUGUGAUGAGUUUAAAACGAGUUAACUCUAAUAAAAUGGUCAUGAAACA